rnacentral:misc_RNA from 1 species
GACGAACCGAGCAAACGUUAUUCGGAAUCACUGGGCUUAAAGGGCGCGUAGGCGGAUCAGCAAGUCAGGGGUGAAAGCCCCCAUCUCAACUGGGGAAGUGCCUCUGAUACUGUUGAUCUCGAGGGAGGUAGGGGCGUGCGGAACUUCCGGUGGAGCGGUGAAAUGCGUAGAUAUCGGAAGGAACACCGGUGGCGAAAGCGGCGCGCUGGACCUCUUCUGACGCUGAGGCGCGAAAGCCAGGGGAGCAAACAGG